AUACGUAGGUGACAAGCGUUAUCCGGAUUUACUGGGCGUAAAGGGCGUGUAGGCGGUCUUGCAAGUCAGAAGUGAAAUUCCUGAGCUCAACUCGGGCGCUGCUUCUGAAACUGCAGGACUUGAGUGCUGGAGGGGAUAGCGGAAUUCCUAGUGGAGCGGUAAAAUGCGCAGAUAUUAGGAAGAACACCGGUGGCGAAGGCGGCUAUCUGGACAGUAACUGACGCUGAGGCGCGAAAGCGUGGGGAGCAAACAGGAUUAGAUACCCUGGUAGUCCACGCUGUAAACGAUGAAUACUAGGUGUAGGGGGUAUCGACUCCCUCUGUGCCGCAGUUAACACAAUAAGUAUUUCGCCUGGGGAGUACGGCCGCAAGGUUGAAACUUAAAGGAAUUGACGGGG
rnacentral:rRNA from 1 species